UGUCAUGACCGGGCUGUCCUGCUCUAUGAA
rnacentral:piRNA from 1 species